rnacentral:rRNA from 1 species
GUCGUAACAAGGUUUCCGUAGGUGAACCUGCGGAAGGAUCAUUACCGUUUGUCUUUUGACAACACCACUGUGAACUGUACCAAGCAGGUGGGGUAACUCAGUCAGUUUUGACUGUAGUUUUAAAUGAUCCCUCGGGAUCGGCCCCACUUGUGCAACCCACUUGUGUUUUUUACGCACUUGUUUAUUCAUGUAUGCUCAUUAACCUGAGCAAAACUAAAACGUGACAACUUCUAACGGUGGAUCUCUUGGCUCGUGGAUCGAUGAAGAACGUAGCCAGUUGCGAUAAGUAGUGUGAAUUGCAGAAUUCAGUGAAUCAUCGAAUCUUUGAACGCAAAUUGCGCUUUCUGGAUAUCCAGGGAGCACGCCUGUCUGAGCGUCGUUUAAUAAUCUACACACUCUGGUGUGGGUAGAGAGUUCAUUUAACUACUUCACUGUAGAUAACUGUCUCUUGAUGUGUCUGAACCUGGCAGAACCUUUACUGUGUGCUGCUUGGAAGGCUCAACUUGCUUCUGUCCUUCUAAAGCAUGCAUGCAGUGAAGUCAGUCGGUUCAACUUCGAUGAAAAUUUCAUUGAAACCUCUUGAUUUUGACCUCAGAUCAGACGAGACUACCCGCUGAAUUUAAGCAUAUCAAU